GGCAGCUACUGGCCUUGAGAGAAGGAACAUCUAUUCUGAAAUUAUAGCUCAGAGAGAGAAGAAAAUUGGUUCAGGUAUGUAUGGGCUUGUAGAUUCGGCAGUGGAAAGAUAAAGAUGAUUUCAUCUGAUGCCUUCAGAUUUCUGUGAAUUUGGCAAGAUCAUCCACUAUGAGUGAAGAAAGAGGAGACUAAAGAAGAUUUCAGACUUAUUGCAAAGAAUGGAAGAUCAACUCGACCAAACAAACGUAGUACGAUUACCAGACACUGGUAAAGUCCCAUUUGAGGGACAUGAUCACGGCAUUAGUUGUUGGAGUUGUGAGACUUACUGAAGCUUUAUCAGGAUUCCAGUUGUCUAAUGGAGUAGGCCUUUGCCAAGACAGUAACAACACUCAGGAUUUCUGGUGCCACCUUCGUCAUUAAGAGUUGCUGAUUUAGAGGUCAACACCAGCAAUGAGACAAACUGCAAUCAUGUGCUUGCUGAUGCUGAGGAAGACACAACAUCACUCUUGUGAAAUUCUAACUGAAAAUAUGUAGUCUGGAUCUAAUCACGAGGAAAAGUCAGACAAAAACUUGAGAGACAGUCUAUGAAGUAAUCAGCUUGGCAUGAAAAUGUUGUAAAAGACAAAGAAUAAGGAACUGUUUCAUAUUUUAAAAGAUUAAAAAAAAUACAGCUAAAUUCAAUAUUGAUCCUGGAUUACAAUACUUCUUUUUUCUGUUCUUGGACAUUAUUGAAAUAAUUGGUGAAGCCUGAAUAAGGUCUAUCGAUUUGAUAAUAAUAUUCUAUCAGUAUCAGUUCUCUGAUUUUUGACAGCUAUUCUGAUGCUGAUUAGGGGAAGAAAUGUGUGUAGAAAUGCAUACUCUUGUGUUUUUUUUUACUUUUAAGAUUUCAAAUCAUCUUAAACACACCUAAAAGUUACCAGAAGUAGCACAAGGAUCUCCAGUGUAUUCAUCUCCCAUAUUCUCCAGUUAACAUUUGAUCAUAUUUGUUUAAUUAUUCUCUUUUGUCCUAUUCUUGUAACUCCUAGGUAUACUUGAACUUAUUUCAAAAUAAAAAGCCACAAAAAAUUAGAAUAAUUAAUACUUUCUACUUCUUUUUGCUUGUUAAGUGAGUAGC